GACGCAGUUGGUAGCCACGUGCUGGCAUUCCCAGCCCUCAUCUCCAGGCCCCUUGCCUCCCUUAUGUGUGUUUUGAGCUUUUACAACAGCAACAAGGGAGGGAAUGAAAUGACCAGCAGCUCUAGCCAAGGGCUAUAACCUGUCCCAGGUAUUUGUGAGCUUCCAAGUAGCUGUGGAUAAAGGUUCAAGGCCUGGGUCUCUGGCAGAGAGAUUUAUGUAAAGGGUUGCCUAGGGGUGUGAGUAUAGAUGUUAAACUCACCUUAGGAAAAGGGACCCAGCUCAUCAUCCAGCCCUGUAAGUGCUUCUGUAUUUUUGUUUGUCUGUUUGCUUGCUUGUUUUGUUUGUUUGUUUAAGGGCCACACCUGUGGCAUAUGGAGGUUCCCAAGCUAGGGGUCAAAUCAGAGCUGUAGCUGCCGGCCUAUACCAUAGCCACAGCAACUAGGGAUCUGAGCUGCAUCUGCUCACAGCAACACUGGGUCCUUAACCCACUGAGUGAGGCCAGGGCUUGAAGCCAUAUCCUCAUGGAUCCUAGUUGGGUCUGUUACCUCUGAGCCACAAUGGGAACUCCCAAGGGUUCUGCAUGGGAGAUGGGGGUCUAAAUGCAGUCCCCUUGGGGACAUUUCCAGACCCUGCUGAGGAGCCUCUGGUGCCACUGCCAUAUCAGCACUGUCCUAAGUACAUAGGAGGUUCUGAGCCAUGUAGAUGUGGGAGGGGGUAGUCAGUGCUUUGGAGGGCUCCUGCGUGUUUUGUGCAUGUAUUUGACUACAAGGCCAUUAUUGGGGAUUCUGAGCUCCAGCUAAUAAAGGAUACCACUUAGGGCUGAGGCAUGGACAUAGAGGGACCAUUUCGUUAGCAACACCUUUACAGUGAAAAUGACUGUCAUGGGUGCAGUGGAAAUGGCUAUGUGGCUAGAGGUUUAACUGCUUCUCCUUUUCUGUCUUCAUGCCCUCGGUCUCUGCCUGUCUUUGGGACCUUGAGUUAGACAUUUAUUAAUCAUCUGAUUUCUGAGUCCCAUCACUCAUCAUGUCUGACAAGAGAGAUCCAUUAACAUUAACACCCAGAAAGGGGAAAGGACAAAGAGCUCCAUUCCCAGUGUCUGGGGAGUUGAACUUGAGGAGUCCUCAGCCCUCCUCAGCUAGCCAGCACCCCGCGAUCGGCUGAGGUCAGAGAGGGCCUCAGGCAGGGAGUAUAUGGACAGAACCCUGCUGCCCUCAUUGGGCUUAACGCUGCAGAGUUGGGGAGAUGGGAAAGGAUCCCUGAGGGCUCGCCCAGGCUGCCCAUCCAUCGGAAGAGCUCUGAGGAAGGAGGGGAGGGCGAAGACCAGAUGGAAACAGCAGUAGCAGGUUUCUGUAAAGAAACAGCUCACAGUGUAGCCACGGGCAGUGGUAGGAAACCUGUCUUUGGGACUGGAACGAGACUUCGGGUCGCCUUUGGUAGGUAAUAGGAACCAUGAGGUAAUAGCUGUGUUGUUCCCUUGGAAUAGGGGUGCUCCUGAGGGGACACCCUAGCUGGAUGUGGUCCUGCCUUCCUUCCAAGGAGAGGUGAUCUCACGGAGGGCACCUGCCUUGAAUCCGCAUGUGUGUUAUUUUUCAUUUCUAUCCCUGAAGCUUUCCUUUCCAUGCGUGAAAACAAACUUCCCCUACUUCAAGUGUCUUCCGUCUUCCUUACUCUGUGUGUUUCCUCUGGAGCAGCAGGUUUGGGAAUUAAUUUAUCCUCAGGAUUUUGUCACUCUGGGCAACAGAACUAAAAGGAUUCUCAAAUGGAGAGUGGAGAGAGCUCUGCUUCUCCUGAUAACUUUUCAGGGGUGGUGUGCUUGAUGAUGGGAGGAGGUAAGCUAGAGUGACCUUCUAAUGACUGUUUGCAAGUGACUCGCAGGAAACUUGCUCAAUGUCCUACACACUCAACUCAGAGUGUUGUCCUCAACACUCUGAGAGGAAUCAUUGGGUUAGACCCUUGGUGGAGUAAAACAAACACUCAGUCUUCUGGAAACAUAAUCAGAUGUCAACCCUCUCCCCCAAUGUACUGCCAUGUUUCAUUAUUUCCCGAUUAUAAAAUAACUACAUGAUAAUUAACAUGAAAUUAUAUAGAUGAGUAAUUUGAGGACUUUGAACCCCUAAUGAAGAUGCAAAUUAUCAACGUUCUGGAACAUGUCACCAGGCAGUACCUUGUAUUCAGGUGGUCCCCAAAGACAAACAGUGUGUUGGGGCAUGAUUUGUGUGGCAAUAAGGUAACGGGGCUGAUUUGUUAACGAAUGGAGUUUAUACAUUUAAAUGUCAAACCACUCAGCCCGAAGAGGCACAGACUUCCGCCCCACCUCCCACCGCAGCCCCGGCCUCUCUACUGCCCACCUCUUCUUUUGAAUCUGCCCUCCAAGGGCCUGGCACAUUCUUUUCGUUAGCUUUAUCUUUUGAAGGUAGAUUUCAUUUUUAUGAAUAAUCCAAAGGCCCUCAGAGCCAUGACUUAUAAAUAAAAGAGGGAUUCAAACUAAUUACUGGCACUGUUUUGGUUCCCCAAAAUGGAGUGUGACCAUAAAAUAAUGUCAUUAGAGUGUUUGCAUGGCCCCUAACUGCUUCUCAGAGAGAGUCCUAAAAGGGAGGACUUCGAAAGAUUCAGCCAUCAUUCAGAUGUUUAAAUCCUGACAUGUUUGUUCAAAUAGCCUCUUUACUUAAUAAACACGCUUAAGAUAAACAUAGCAUGAGAUAGAGGAAGUUUUGCAAGCCCGGACCUCAUCAAAGCACAGAGACUUUCAGUAUGAACUGAGCUAUUAUCCCAAGUAAAGCCCAUGUAGAAAAACACGAGGUCAAAACCUUCUGAUGGCAAAAGUGCCUACAAUAUCCUAAUUGACAGCAAAGCUACCCCGAGAAAUGGUAACCCUAUGGAAGUUUAUGUAGAGACACAUAGCACUGUGACUCAGGAAGCUUCAAAUACAUCUUUGGAGCAGGCACAAGGCUACAGGUUUUACCAAGUGAGUAUUGCAACCAAGACAAUUUUAAAUGUUAUUGGUGUCUGACAGGCAAGGGCAGGUAAAAUAAGCGAAAUACUUGCUAUAAACCAUGGAAGCAAAAAUCACAGCUGUCUGAGGUGGCCAUUCUUGGCCCCUCUGCUCUGGUCAGGAGGGGUGAAGGAGAGCUUGGAGGUUCACUGGGAUCAACUUACCACCAGUUUCAUAAGAAUUAGACUAGUUACGAGAAAAUAUUUGUUAGGUAAAGAAAGACUUUGAGAGACUCCUCUGGACAGAGGAAUUUUUUUAAAACUGUGCUACUCUCAUUCCACAUUUUUCACUCACUUUACCUAUACUUCUUUGUCCAACUCAACACUUCAUCUAGACAUGCAUGUUUUGAGAAACCAUCAGGUCCACUUCUGAGCCUCUCUAGAAUCUGCACCCUUUCUGUUCUCCAAAUUCCCUUUCUCAAAUGCUCUGUUCUGGGCAAACUGGACACCUACUUCUCCUGCCUGCUUACACAUGCCCACACCUGUACCUGUGUCCAUAAAUCAGACACCGUGGACGAAGCACUGAAGACAGACUAGCAAUACGUGAAACAAAUUGUUACUCAGCCUCAAGACCCAGCACAGAUGUCACCAGAUUUAACUUUACAGGGAGAACUCGAGAAACUAUAUUCCUUUUUAAAAAUUAGGGAGGCUCAGGUAAGAGAUCCAGCAGGCAAAUAGCAAAGUAGGAAGGGAGGAAAUGCUUCCAUAACAGAUGUGGGAAGGAGGGGUGGGUCCAUGGAAAGAUAUUCUCUGGUGGAGAAACAAGACCAACUAAAUCCAAGUAGGAAGUUUAUGGGCUGCCAUAUUGCCUGCAUGUUCCUUGUUUUGCCUCUGGAGUGGUCCAUUCCCAAUUGUUGGUCAUUAAGCGCCUGGCCCUCCAGCUGGCCAGAGUUGGGGAAGAGGGAGAAGACCAUGCUGUAUACUCGGCAGUGGUGCCCAUGGUAUUUCCUUCCAGACUUUCCUUCAAGCUACCUCAAAAUUAAGAGAUGUCCAAAAGGAUCACCUAGAUAGGAUGGAAGAAGUUUCCUGUAACAGAAUGAUUUCAGGUUAGUCCUUGAGUUGUGUUAUCUCCUGGGAAAGGGCCAGUGAGAAUGGAAAACUCUCCACUAGGACAAAGAAAGGAUGAAAAUCUUUAUCCUGGUGACCAUCUAAGCUGGGGAUGAACAGGUUUGCAGCUGGAAUUGGGGUGAACUCCAGAGCUGACCUAUGCCUGCAACUCUCUCUAGUUCUGCAGAAUAAGAAAAGGUAUUUAGAUGUUCCAGAGCCUGGACCUCGGUCAGAGGUGUCUGGCUCCAGCACCCUGAAGGGUGGCCCAACAUGCCAACCCCUCUUGCCAGGUGGGCAGUGGCAGCUGCCCUCAGUCUCCUCCAUCGUGGUGACAGUCUCUCUGACUGCUUUGUCUUUGGUGCCAUGGGCAUAAACUGUUCCUACUUUUCCAAAUCAAGUAUGUGAUCUUCAGGACCCCUGGAGCAUUAUUGUCUAAAACACCAGAGGAUAACUAGGGUUUUGGCAGUCAGUACUCUGGGCUUGUGCAGGAAAACUCCUUCUUUAGAACAUUUAGAAAGAAUAUCCUCCAUUCAUUCAAUGUGGAAACAGUCCUGAAAAUCCAAGCUGGUGCUAGGAUUCUGUGCCAGGUUAUUACUGUGACAAUUACUUAAUAUUCUCUGUGCUCACGGUAUCGCUUCUUCCAGAAGAUCUUUAGGGAAAACUUAGUUGGGUUUCUAGGAGGUUUUUGCUGAGCUGAAGAUCACUGUGUGAAUAAUAACGCAGGCAAGGCGUUUACAUUUGGAGGGGGAACAAGGUUAAUGGUCAAACCUGGUGAGUAUCUCUGCUGAAUCCAUAAUGAAUGCUCUGAUUUCUAAAGGAAGCCAGAGCACUAAGCUUCAUUUGGGGGUUGUUUUCUCCACUCAGUUUUUUUUUUUAAUGUUAAUUCUAAUCAUUAAUCCUAAUGAUUCUACGGUGUAUAUACGUGCCAUGCGUACAUGUGAAAACAGGCACAUAUGUAAUCAUCUGGCAUAGGAACAGAGGAGCUGGAGAAUAAUAGAUUCUUUGCCCUUUUUGUCUUAACCACUUGGGUCAGAAAGUCUGCAUUGAUCUCAGGAAUGGCUGAGCACUGGAGUGGGAGAACCGUAGCUUUGUCAGGAUUCUGCCACUCCUCGAUGGCCUGGGGAGGGGACAGCUCCGUCUGGAGGUUGGGGGAUAAGCUAUUUAACCUCAGAAGAGCCUUUCUGGCCCAACCAUGCUGUGCAUUGACCACGAUAAUAAACACUCUUCCCUGAUGCCUCUCUGGCCAGGGUCCCAGCCGGAGGAGCACGCUGGCUGGAUUUGGGGAUUGAAAGGGAUUUCCUGGUACACAUUGGCCUGGUCGGUUUCUGUAAAGCUUGCUAUGACUGUGUAAUAUUGGCAACAGCCGUAAGCUGAUUUGGGGAUUGGGGACAAGUCUGGCAGUAAAUCCAAGUGAGUACUCAAAUUAACUCUCUCCCUCAAACCUGUCUAUGCAGUUUGAAGUGUCUCAGGAACCGGCUUCUUUAGCCCUCAUGUUUAAUACGUGCAGCCAUGAGCAGUGUUUUUCUCCUCUCCACCCAAGCUGAGCUCCUGCCUACCCCUCAAUCAAAAUACCUAGAGAGGGGGGUCCAGAAGGGCAUGGUCGGAAGGCAGUUGGAAUGUGAGGCAGUCUUCUUAUAGAGCAAACAGGCGGCCCCUUCCAAAAAGAGCCAUCAGGAGGCAUUCAGGUUAGACGAGGUGAAAAUACGCAUCACGUAUCACAGCCUCCUUAGUCCAUCCUGUAUCAGCCUCCCCAUGCGCUGUUGGAAGAUCCUGCUCCCCUCCAGCCAAAGAUAACCCGAGCGCUGCUGGGAAGUGCUGGGACUUAGGGCCACCCAGUGACCUCCCUAAGGAACAUCUCCCCACCAUUAACUCUCCAGAAUGACUCACACUUACCAUCUAAUUUAUGCCUCUCUCAGUUCUCUUUGGCUUACAGCCUUAUGGUGGAUUUAUUAGAAGGAACAGGGAAGGAAUUGGUUUCAUCCUAAUUCUGGCCUCUCCUGAAAAGCUCUUCUCUCCAAGACUCCUCAGGAGCAUCUUAGAGACCACUCGCCCUGCUUAGAACUGUGCUUGGUACAACCAGACUGGGUCUCCUGCAGGGUUUGCUGUGGCUUUGGCAGGGGCCAGCUCCCAGGGAAGUUCUGGAGCCCCAGGCUGGAGCUGGGGGGCAAGGGGGAGAGCUGGUUAAUGCAGUGGAGCCCAGGGGCUUCAGGAAAGACACCUAUGAUAUAGGUGUGAAUGAAUUUCUGAAUGAGCUUCUGUGGGUUAACCUGGUAAGACUCUGCAGGGAGAAGGUCAGCCUUCCCUCUGCCACUCUACAUGUAAGUCAUGAGUUGCAAGAAAAAAUGGGAAACGUCAAUUGCUGUGCCAAAAUGAAGGGACUGGGUAUAAAUACUGAACCAGUUUUAAUGUUAAAUUUAUGAAAUGGAAAACUUUUCUAGGGAACCAGCUCAGGGAACAUUUAUUAGGAUUGAUGAGCUAACUAUUUCAUCAGUGCUACUGGGAUGCGCACUUUAAAGGAGAACUUAGAAUUGUUUCAGGCUAAUGGAAGGUCUAGCCCACUAUAGGUGAAUGUGAAAACUGCCUGGCAAACCCUAACUCUGCUACUUACUAGAUGUGUGGCUGCAGGCAGGUUUUCUAAUCUUUUUACUUCUCUUUAUUCCUCAUUUUUCUUGUCUGUUAAAUGGGGAUGAUAACAGUACCUAGCUCACUGCACUGUUACUAGAUUAGGAGUGAAUACCUAUCAAGGGCCUUGCAUAGAGGCAGCAAAUAUUAGUUGUUGUUACUAGAUCAGGUUGCUGGAGGGGAGGAAGCAAAAACAGCCAUCUCCUUUUAAGUUUUUGUAAGGUGGAGUGUUACAGUGUGGCUCUAGCAACACAGGAAAACUGGUCUUUGGGCAGGGGACAGUGUUACAGGUAAAACCAGGUAGGUCUGAAUGUUUUCAAGUGAGCCAGAAUAACCUGCCACGUUCAUUCUUUGGUUGAUCUUCUCUGCCAAAUUUCUAACCAAAGACUCUUACUUUUAGGUUUUAUUUUUCUUUAACACUAGGAAGGAGGAGGUGUGUAAAGCCUGGCUUAAAUGGUCUUUUCUAACCCAUUUGGUUUCAGCUAGUGACAAAAAAGGGGGGUUGCAGAACUUGAAGUGAGUUGGGUCUGGAAUUUCUUGGUGAAGCCUGACAGAAUGUAAUUUUCUGGGAGACAUAAAAACAUCAAAUGUGAGAGGUGCACAAAAAGUAAAGGUGAUUUUACAUAAUAGCAUGCUGCAGUGGGAACCACCCCAUAGCCACUAGGAUUCUCUAAGAAGCAUCUUUCAAGGGGAAAAUGAAUAACCUAGAAAUGACAAGGUUUUGUUUUUGAAAAAAGAAGAGGGGUGGAGAGACAGGAGACUGUUGGUGAUUUGGAUUUUUUUUUGGUUAAGAAACAUGGAAAACAAGAUUUUCCAUAGAAGGGUGUAUAAAAGGCUCUCACCAAGUAGGAGUCCAAAUGUGUGUGGCACACCCCUAGUGAGCUUCUCAGAGGAAGAAGAGGAGACAGUCCCAGAGUGAAGUGUUUUUGUAUUGGGCAGAAACACUGUGUCAACUACUGGGGCAAACCGGCUUGUCUUUGGAACGGGAACAAGACUCACCAUCAUUCCCCGUAAGUCCUUUGCCACUUGAGAAAAAGCUCUUAAUCUAUAAUGGCCAGCUCUCACCUCCCAGACACCUAAUGAAUUUCUAAAUGAGUUCCUGUGUAUUAACCUGAUAAGACUCUCCAAGGAGAAGGUCACCCUUCUCUCUGCAGCUCUAAAUGUAAGUCGUGUUGUAAAAAGAAAAGGAAAAAAAAAAAAAAA
rnacentral:lncRNA from 1 species